GGGCCCGCACAAGCGGUGGAGCAUGUGGUUUAAUUCGAUGAUACGCGAGGAACCUUACCAGGGCUUAAAUGUAGUAUGACCGGUCUAGAAAUAGACCUUCUCUUCGGAGCAGAUUACAAGGUGCUGCAUGGUUGUCGUCAGCUCGUGCCGUGAGGUGUUAGGUUAAGUCCUGCAACGAGCGCAACCCCUAUUCUUAGUUGCCAGCGGUUCGGCCGGGGACUCUAAGAAGACUGCCAGCGCAAGCUGAGAGGAAGUGGGGAUGACGUCAAAUCAUCACGGCCCUUACGUCCUGGGGCUACACACGUGCUACAAUGGUACAGACAGAGGGCAGCCACCUGGCGACAGGGAGCGAAUCCUUAAACUGUAUCUC
rnacentral:rRNA from 1 species